rnacentral:tRNA from 3 species
GCACCCGUAGCUCAGUGGAUAGAGCGUCUGCCUCCGGAGCAGAAGGUCGCUGGUUCGAAUCCAGUCGGGUGUA